GCCUCUUGCUCGCGAAGCAAUCGGAAGUGGUUCCAAGAAAAGCCUCUAAGCUUCAGUCUAACGAGACCGUACCGCAAACCGACACAGGUGGGCGAGAUGAGUAUUCUAAGGCGCUUGAGAGAACUCGGGAGAAGGAACUCGGCAAAUUGGUACCGUAACUUCGGGAUAAGGUACGCCCUAGUAGCUUGACUGUGAACAACAGAAGGGUGAAUGGGUUGCAAAAAAAUGGUGGCUGCGACUGUUUAAUAAAAACACAGCACUCUGCAAACACGAAAGUGGACGUAUAGGGUGUGACGCCUGCCCGGUGCUGGAAGAUUAAAUGAUGGGGUGCAAGCUCUUGAUUGAAGUCCCAGUAAACGGCGGCCGUAACGAUAACGGUCCUAAGGUAGCGAAAUUCCUUGUCGGGUAAGUUCCGACCUGCACGAAUGGCGUAACGAUGGCCACACUGUCUCCUCCCGAGACUCAGCGAAGUUGAAGUGUUUGUGAUGAUGCAAUCUACCCGCGGCUAGACGGAAAGACCCCAUGAACCUUUACUGUAGCUUUGCAUUGGACUUUGAACCAAUCUGUGUAGGAUAGGUGGGAGGCUUUGAAGCGGGGACGCUAGUUCUCGUGGAGCCAACCUUGAAAUACCACCCUGGUUUGUUUGAGGUUCUAACCUUGGUCCGUUAUCCGGAUCGGGGACAGUGCAUGGUAGGCAGUUUGACUGGGGCGGUCUCCUCCCAAAGUGUAACGGAGGAGUUCGAAGGUACGCUAGGUACGGUCGGACAUCGUGCUAAUAGUGCAAUGGCAUAAGCGUGCUUAACUGCGAGACUGACAAGUCGAGCAGGUACGAAAGUAGGACAUAGUGAUCCGGUGGUUCUGUAUGGAAGGGCCAUCGCUCAACGGAUAAAAGGUACUCUGGGGAUAACAGGCUGAUUCCUCCCAAGAGUUCAUAUCGACGGGGGAGUUUGGCACCUCGAUGUCGGCUCAUCACAUCCUGGGGCUGUAGCCGGUCCCAAGGGUAUGGCUGUUCGCCAUUUAAAGUGGUACGUGAGCUGGGUUUAAAACGUCGUGAGACAGUUUGGUCCCUAUCUGCCGUGGGCGUUGGAAGUUUGAGGGGGGCUGCUCCUAGUACGAGAGGACCGGAGUGGACGAACCUCUGGUGUACCGGUUGUCACGCCAGUGGCAUCGCCGGGUAGCUAAGUUCGGAAGAGAUAACCGCUGAAAGCAUCUAAGCGGGAAACUUGCCUCAAGAUGAGACUUCCCGGGAACUUGAUUCCCCUAAAGGGUCGUUCGAGACCAGGACGUUGAUAGGCUGGGUGUGGAAGCGCAGUAAUGCGUUAAGCUAACCAGUACUAAUUGCCCGUGCGGCUUGUCCUU
rnacentral:rRNA from 1 species